UACUCACCUGUGUGCAGAGGGCAGGCAGCAGUGGCACAAACCAAGAACGUGCACAACAAGGCCCGGGAGAGAAAAUUACUGUCAUAUCCACAAAACCAAAGCAGAAAAGGAGCACACUAUACAAAGACAACAGUGGAGAGUUGCUGGAUCUGUCUGUCCUCAAAGUGCCAGAGAUCUACAAGGACUUCACCCUUAUCUGCACCAUCACCUGCAUAAUCCAAGUGAUAAAAGAGAGAACAAACUAUUGUUUUCUCUGCUUACAUGAAUAGGUGCCUGUAAUGUCUGCCGACAUAUACAAUCAAUUCAAUAAAUGUUGAUAAGUAUCACUGAUAUUU